rnacentral:rRNA from 1 species
CCUACGGGCGGCAGCAGUGAGGAAUAUUGGUCAAUGGACGAGAGUCUGAACCAGCCAAGUAGCGUGAAGGAUGACUGCCCUAUGGGUUGUAAACUUCUUUUAUAUGGGAAUAAAACGUUCCACGUGUGGGAUUUUGUAUGUACCAUAUGAAUAAGGAUCGGCUAACUCCGUGCCAGCAGCCGCGGUAAUACGGAGGAUCCGAGCGUUAUCCGGAUUUAUUGGGUUUAAAGGGAGCGUAGGUGGAUUGUUAAGUCAGUUGUGAAAGUUUGCGGCUCAACCGUAAAAUCGCAGUUGAAACUGGCAGUCUUGAGUACAGUAGAGGUGGGCGGAAUUCGUGGUGUAGCGGUGAAAUGCUUAGAUAUCACGAAGAACUCCGAUUGCGAAGGCAGUUCACUGGACUGCAACUGACACUGAGGCUCGAAAGUGUGGGUAUCAAACAGGAUUAGAUACCCGUGUAGUC